UACGUAGGGGGCAAGCGUUGUCCGGAUUCAUUGGGCGUAAAGAGCUCGUAGGCGGCUUGGCAAGUCGGGUGUGAAAACUUCAGGCUCAACCUGGAGCGGCCACUCGAUACUGCCAUGGCUAGAGUCCGGUAGGGGACCACGGAAUUCCUGGUGUAGCGGUGAAAUGCGCAGAUAUCAGGAGGAACACCGGUGGCGAAGGCGGUGGUCUGGGCCGAAACUGACGCUGAGGAGCGAAAGCGUGGGUAGCAAACAGG
rnacentral:rRNA from 1 species